AUGCUCAAUGGACAGCACACACACUAAAAAUUGGAACAAUACAGAGAUUAGCAUAGCCCUUGCACAAGGAUGGCAUGCAAAUUCGUGGAGUGUUCCAUAUGAAA
rnacentral:snRNA from 1 species